rnacentral:tRNA from 1 species
GUUGUAGCUCAGUGGUAGAGCAUUUGCUUGUCAUGCACAAGGCCCUGGGUUCAAUCCCCAGGACAACA